GACGAACGCUGGCGGCGUGCUUAACACAUGCAAGUCGAACGGUAAGGCCCUUCGGGGUACGACGAGUGGCGAACGGGUGAGUAACACGUGGUGAUCUGCCCUGCACUUCGGGAUAAGCCUGGGAAACUGGGUCUAAUACCGGAUAGGACCAUGGACUUCACGGUUUGUGGUGGAAAGCUUUUGCGGUGUGGGAUGGGCCCGCGGCCUAUCAGCUUGUUGGUGGGGUAAUGGCCUACCAAGGCGACGACGGGUAGCCGGCCUGAGAGGGUGUCCGGCCACACUGGGACUGAGAUACGGCCCAGACUCCUACGGGAGGCAGCAGUGGGGAAUAUUGCACAAUGGGCGCAAGCCUGAUGCAGCGACGCCGCGUUGAGGGAUGACGGCCUCGGUUGUAACUCUUCAUAGGACGAGACGCGAAGUGACGGUACC
rnacentral:rRNA from 1 species